UUAGCAAAUUGAGCAACCGCUGAACUUAUGAUAUCAAAUUAUUGGUUCAGAGGAAAGUCCGAACUCCCCCGAGCGCAUUAUGCGCUCGGAGCAAGGUAGUGGGUAACGCCCACACGCGGUAACGCGAGAGUUGCGAGCAGAGACGUUCUAAGCUGAGAAGCGAAGAACACCGAGAAAUUUUCUUGGUGAAUCUCAAGGGAAACUUUGAGGGUGAAACGGCUAAAUACUUACCUGGGAGCAAGAGCAAACCAGACAGACAACCGAGGGCAGACCUCUCUUAAACUGAAUAUUAUAUUUAUUCAAGUUAGAAGAGGUCUGCCCUCAGUUGUCUGUCUGGAAAAGUAGCUCGCAUGACCCGACGCAGGCAACUGCCGGGAUAGAUAAAUGAUUGCGCUCCGCCUUGGGCGGAGAACAGAAUUCGGCUUAUAGAUUUGCUAAGGCA
rfam:Parcubacteria group bacterium CG1_02_41_26 cg1_0.2_scaffold_4827_c, whole genome shotgun sequence.